GAGAGACUGGCCUAACCUCCCAGCCUACAUCUUUCUCCCGUGUUGGAUGUUUCCUGCCCUCAAACAGCAGACUCCAAGUUCUUCACUUUUGAGACUGGGACUGGCUCUCCUUGCUCCUCAAGCUUGCUGUCUCCUAUUGUGGGACCUUGUGAUUGUAAGUAAGAGUUCCACUCUGGCAUAGCAGCGUGAGGAUUUCCUUCUACCUGUUCUUCAGAGAAACUGGUGAAAAUUAUGGAACAACAACAAGAACAAAACACCAGUCGAAGCCUUUGGGACUAGUUCUAAAGAAAAACAGCAAAUGAAGAAAUAUCUGUUCAAGAAAAUCUAUGAAAAUUCAAUAAGAAAAUUCAAUAAGAAAAGUAUGAAUCUGUGGUAUCUGAACCAAGACUACUUCCUCCCUCCACCUUUCUACCCCCUCUAUUCAGAGAGAUGGAAACUUCACUCUUGACUGCUGCAACCAAAAAUAUAGGGCUCCCUUUCUUCACAGUCCUCAUCCAGAGGGUUUUCUUCCUGAAAGGAGCAAGACUUCAGCAUUUCUCAUCCUACCUUCAGGUGCCUUCUGCUGAGGCUAAGUCCCAGAUGAUUUUGAACAAUUAGGGAAUCCCUUUUUCUACCCUAUCUCCACUAAUGGAAUGGAGGCUCUAUCUUGGACACAGCAGCACUGAGAAUAUGGAAGCCCUGCUAGCCGUUUCCCUGGCUCCUGAGGCAGUGGUUCCAUAUUAGGAGAGGCAAGCUGAGAAGACCUUACUUAGGCUUUUGCACGCCCCCCCGGCAUCCCUUUCUUACUGCCAUCAUUCACAUUACUCAGCUCCUAAGUGGAAGUGUCACUCAGAAAGAAACUUGUCAUUGUCCCCACUCUCAUCUCCAGAGCCCUGACUCAGACAUUUUUGCCAGGAAUGAGAAACAAGCCUUAAAAUAGGGUAGUUCCCAAUCUCUUCCCAGAGGAACUGACUUUGUUUGAAACAGAUUGUGGAAAAGUUUAAAAGUAGGGACACUCUCAGGAAUAGUAGAGUUAGGGUAAUAGGCAAGUAAGAAGACAUAUGUGGAUAUAAUUAAUGUACAGACAACACCGUAGACCAGCUAGUUUGCAGGAGAGAACUGCAGAAGAAGACAGCUUGGAGAAACCCUCCUGGCAACAGAAAACAAAAAUAAAAAACAUUGAACAUAGAAACUACAUGAAGAAGCCACAAUUUGAUUGGAUUGGUUUGUAGAGGAAUUUAUGUCCAGGACGUUGUUGAUAAUAAUAGAGCAAUCCCAGAUUGUUAAUGGAGUUUAAUAACUGUGUGUGUGUAGGGAACAUGGGAAGAGAGCCUUAUAAGUCCCAGUGUGGCCAUGGCAUACCCUAAACUGCUCCCCCCUAGAUUUUACUAAACUAAAGUAAUCCAGCCAGUCACUAAAGAAAUAAACAAGCGGCCGGGUACAGUGGCUCACUCCUGUAAUCCCAGCACUUUAGGAGGCUGAGGCGGGCGGAUCAUGAGGUCAGGAGAUCGAGACCAUCCUGGCUAACACGGUGAAACCCCAUCUCUACUAAAAAUACAAAAAAUUAGCCAGGCAUGGUGGCGGGCACCUGUAGUCCCAGCUACUGGGGAGGCUGAGGCAGGAGAAUGGCGUGAACCCGCGAGGCAGAGCUUGCAGUGAGCCGAGAUGGAGCCACUGCACUCCAGCCUGGGUGACAGAGCAAGACUCUGUCUCAAAAAAAAAAAAAAAAAAAAGAAAGAAAGAAACAAGCAAAUAACAAUAACAAACUCUGGUUUGGGAAGAAGCAAUAUCCAGAGUUGGUUGCUAUAUUAUCUGGAAUGUUCAGUUUUCCACAAAAACUUACAAGGCAUGUGAAAAAAUAGGUUGAAUUGUGUCUCCCAAAAGAUGUUGAAGUCCUAACUCCCAGGACGUGGGAAUGUGACCUUAUUUGGAAAUGAAGUCUUUGCAAAUGAUCAAAUUAGGUUGGGGCCAUUAGGGUCGGCCCUAAUUCAAUAUGACUGCUCUUAUACAAAGGGGAAAUUUGGACACAGAGACAGGGUUACAGAGAGGCGGCCAUGUAAACACACAGUGAGUACACAAUCUACAAAUGAAAGAAUGCCCAGGCCCCCAGGAGAGAGCAGCAUGGAACAGAUUCACCCUUAAAGCUCUCAGAAGGAACCAACCUUGCUGACACCUUGUGUUAAGACCUCUAGCCUCUAGAACUGUGAGACAACACAUUUUUGUUGUUUAAGUCACUCUAUAGUAUUUUAUUACUGCAGCUUCAGGAAACCAAUACCUCUUACUACUAAUUUUUUCUUUUAAAAAACCUUUAAGUAGAGCCAUUUUAUCUUGUUUAUAAUUGUCAAGAAAAGAUAAAUAAUCUAAGUGAAUUAUAUAUACAUUUAUUUUUCUAGGUGCUUUCUUGAUCCAACUUAAAGAACUAUUGCAAUGUUAGUCAUAAAAGCAUAGUAUAGGCCACUUAAGGAUCACUAGUUGUUCUUUUAAAAUAAAUUUUGUGGUGAAAAGUAUUUGGGAGAAGCUGAAUUUCAGUGUAGACACUAAUGUGUAUUUGCAUUUUUGAAGACUUUGAUAUGUCUGGACGUCAAAUUAUUUUGUUUAUAAUCUAUACAUCAUGGUGGCUGGGCGUGGGGGCUCAUGCCUAUAAUCCCAGCACUUCGGGAGGCCGAGGUGGUUGGAUCAUGAGGUCAGGAGUUCAAGACAAGCCUGGGUGAAACCCUGUCUCUACUAAAAAUACAAAAAUUAGUCGAGCAUGGUGGUGGGCACCUGUAAUCCCAGCUACUUGGGAG
rnacentral:lncRNA from 10 species